rnacentral:lncRNA from 1 species
UUGAACCUGGUCAUGGUUGACCAAGCUACACCAAACCUUUUACAGUCUAUCACACCAAUUUGCACCCUAGUCUCAAUAUUUUUCAUUUUCUUCCCCUCUUUAUUCUCUCUUUUUGGCCACCACAACCACCACCAUUUUAUUUCCACCACCGUGAGUUUAUUUGCACCAUCACCUCACCACCAUCCACAAACAACACUCCCUCUAUUUUCCUUUCGAUUUCCCCUCCCCUCUUUUACCAUGCACUAUUGUGAGCUACCGUGUCUAGU